AUGUCAAAAGUAAUACGAAACAUAAAAUGUGGUACAAGUUGGAAUAGCAUAAAAAAUAACUUUGAUGAUAACAAAACAGUGAAUUCGUUACUUUUUUUUUCACAAAGGAAGUACAAUAAACUAUUUUUUUCUUCGGCAACUGCUGAGGCUGAAACAACAGUUCGUAGUAAACCAUAUAUUAAUAACAAUGUACCAUCAAUAAAUUUUUUAGAUUCACAAGAACUUAAAAUAGUUAACAACAGAAAAAUAACAUUUGUUAGUACAUUUGAAGAUAGAAUAAACGUAUUUUUAAAGCCGUUACAAAAUUCAACUGAGAUCUAUAAUAAAUUGGACUGUAGAAUUAUUAAAACAGAUGAAAAUAACAAUCAGCAUGAGGACACAUAUGAUACCACGUUUAAUAGUAACAAAGCAGAAAGUAUUUAUAACAACAUAGAAAAUAUUGAUAGUAACAAAUUCGCGUCUAUUUAUACUGAUAAAGGUAAUGAGGUAUCACUUAAUGAAGAAGGUGAUGGAAAAGAAAAUGUGUAUGGUGGAGCUGAUGAAAAAGAUAACCUACCCAGUGUCAAGUUUUGUUCGAAAUAUCUGCAAGUCGAUCGGUUUAAUGCCAUACGAUAUGAAAAUCACAACUAUAUAUACGAGUUCGAAGUACAAAAUAUUGGAGAAUUAAGUAAAUACGAACCAGGUACUGCAGUAAAUAUAUAUUUUGAUAAUAAAGACACUAUAGGCAUCGGAUUGUUAAACAGAAAGAGUAAUAUUAUAAUUAGGAUUAUAGAAAGAGAUAUAUCCAAAACGAUAAAUGAUAUUUUUUUUAUAAAAAAAUUAUAUGAAAGUAUUAAAAGAAGGUUUUCAUAUAUAUAUAAUAUAAAUUUAUAUAAAUAUAUGCACUCAUUUCAUGCUAAAAAUAAUAUUGCUUUUUAUUGCAAUUUUGUUAAUUCUAUUAACGAUGAAUUAGAUGGAUUAAAUGUUUAUGUUUUUAAUAAAACCUUAUAUAUAAGAUAUGAUAACUUGGCUAUACAAAAAUAUAAUUAUAUUUUUGAAAGUGAACUAGAAAAAAUAUUUACUCCUAAAAAUAUAUAUUGUAAAAAGAUUAUAAGUAAAAAAGAAAAAAGGGCACAAAAAGGUAAAGAAUAUGUACUUGAACAUAUCAAAGGAAAUGAUUUAGAUGUCACUUAUUCUACAAACAAUGUUACUUUUUAUAAUAACAUAACAAACAUAUCAUACAACAUUUUUAACAUCAUAAAUAAACAAGAUAUAAUUUUUUUAAAAAGUAUAAUAAACGGUAUUAACGUUUUAAAUAUAAAUGAAAAUGUAGGUGAAUAUACAAUUAUCACAUCUUUAACUAAUAAAAAUGUACACAACAAGGAAUCAAGUUCUGAUAAUCAUGUUACAAUUAUUUUAUCAGAUUCUGUUAAAAAUGCUAGUUAUGUGGAAAAAAAUAUUUCUGUUAACAACUGUAAAAACGUUACAUCACUAUAUCGGGAAGGUAAACAAAACGAGGAGCUGUACUGUGUCUGUGUGUUCGUUGUAUAUACACGCAAAAAUGUGCAUACGCAUGUAUAG
rnacentral:lncRNA from 1 species